rnacentral:rRNA from 1 species
GAACGCGAAGAACCUUACCUACCCUUGACAUGCCAGGAAGCCCGCAGAGAUGUGGGUGUGCCCGAAAUGGAACCUGGACACAGGUGCUGCAUGGCUGUCGUCAGCUCGUGUCGUGAGAUGUUGGGUUAAGUCCCGCAACGAGCGCAACCCUUGCCAUUAGUUGCUACAUUCAGUUGGGCACUCUAAUGGGACCGCCGGUGACAAACCGGAGGAAGUGGGGAUGACGUCAAGUCCUCAUGGCCCUUAUGGGUAGGCUUCACACGUAAUACAAUGGUCGGUACAGAGGGCUGCCAACCCGCAAGGGGGAGCUAAUCCCAGAAAGCCGAUCGUAGUCCGGAUUGUAGUCUGCAACUCGACUGCAUGAAGCCGGAAUCGCUAGUAAUCGCGGAUCAGCAUGUCGCGGUGAAUACGUUCCCGGGUCUUGUACACACC